rnacentral:rRNA from 1 species
AUUGAACGCUUGCUGCAGGCCUAACACAUGCAAGUCGAACGAGUGGCGGACGGGUGAGUAAUGUCUGGGAACCUGCCCGCUGGAGGGGGAUAACUACUGUAAACGGUAGCUAAUACCGCAUACCAUCGGAUGUGCCCAGAUGGGCUUAGCUAGUAGGUGGGGUAAAGGCGCACCUAGGCGACGAUCCCUAGCUGGUCGGAGAGGAUGACCAGCCACACUGGAACUGAGACACGGUCCAGACUCAUACGGGAGGCAGCAGUGGGGAAUAUUGCACAAUGGGCGCAAGCCUGAUGCAGCCAUGCCGCGUGGAUGAAGAAGGCCAUCGGGUUGUAAAGUACUUUCAGCGGGGAGGCGUUACCAGAAGAAGAAGCACCGGCUAACUCCGUGCCAGCAGCCGCGGUAAUUC